GACGAACCACACAAACGUUAUUCGGAGUUACUGGGCUUAAAGGGUGCGUAGGCGGCUUAGCAAGUUGGGUGUGAAAUACCUCGGCUCAACCGGGGAAUGGCGCUCAAAACUGCUGAGCUGGAGGAAGAUAGAGGUGAGCGGAACUUAAGGUGGAGCGGUGAAAUGCGCAGAUAUCAGGAGGAACACCGGUGGCGAAGGCGGUGGUCUGGGCCGGAACUGACGCUGAGGAGCGAAAGCGUGGGGAGCGAACAGG
rnacentral:rRNA from 1 species